rnacentral:lncRNA from 1 species
GCGUAUUCCAAGUGGGGACCUCGAACCACAAAGCUGGAGUAAGAGAAACAGAAUGAAAGGAAUACAUGGCCGCAUUUGAGGAGUGCAGGAUUAUAUCAGCACUUGGGAUGAACAAGAAGAAGAAGAAAAAGAAGGAGGAGGAGGAGAAGGAGAAGAAGGAGGAGGAGAAGAAGAGACCAGACUUUUGAGAGCAGCCUGACUGGCAUAGUGAAACUGUAUCUUUAAAAACAAG